rnacentral:rRNA from 1 species
UGUGCCUAAUACAUGCAAGUCGAACGCGUUGGCCCAAUUGAUUGAUGGUGCUUGCACCUGAUUGAUUUUGGUCGCCAACGAGUGGCGGACGGGUGAGUAACACGUAGGUAACCUGCCCAGAAGCGGGGGACAACAUUUGGAAACAGAUGCUAAUACCGCAUAACAACGUUGUUCGCAUGAACAACGCUUAAAAGAUGGCUUCUCGCUAUCACUUCUGGAUGGACCUGCGGUGCAUUAGCUUGUUGGUGGGGUAAUGGCCUACCAAGGCGAUGAUGCAUAGCCGAGUUGAGAGACUGAUCGGCCACAAUGGGACUGAGACACGGCCCAUACUCCUACGGGAGGCAGCAGUAGGGAAUCUUCCACAAUGGGCGCAAGCCUGAUGGAGCAACACCGCGUGAGUGAAGAAGGGUUUCGGCUCGUAAAGCUCUGUUGUUAAAGAAGAACACGUAUGAGAGUAACUGUUCAUACGUUGACGGUAUUUAACCAGAAAGUCACGGCUAACUACGUGCCAGCAGCCGCGGUAAUACGUAGGUGGCAAGCGUUAUCCGGAUUUAUUGGGCGUAAAGAGAGUGCAGGCGGUUUUCUAAGUCUGAUGUGAAAGCCUUCGGCUUAACCGGAGAAGUGCAUCGGAGACUGGAUAACUUGAGUGCAGAAGAGGGUAGUGGAACUCCAUGUGUAGCGGUGGAAUGCGUAGAUAUAUGGAAGAACACCAGUGGCGAAGGCGGCUACCUGGUCUGCAACUGACGCUGAGACUCGAAAGCAUGGGUAGCGAACAGGAUUAGAUACCCUGGUAGUCCAUGCCGUAAACGAUGAGUGCUAGGUGUUGGAGGGUUUCCGCCCUUCAUUGCCGGAGCUAACGCAUUAAGCACUCCGCCUGAGGAGUACGACCGCACGGUUGAAUCUCAUAGGAAUUGAAAGGGGGCGCGCACAGCCGCUGCAGCAGGUGAUUUGGUUCUAAGCGACACGAAGACCCUACCAGUUCUUGG